UAUCUUAGAUAUUUUUAAUUAAAGUUUAUUUAAAAAUAUCUAAGAUAUUGUAAAUUACCGCCAUCUAGCAGCAACGUUUACGAAAUAGUUAUAAAAUAAGUUUGACAACCUCGCAAAUUUCUUGUAUUGGGUACGUCGAUCAGCUGAUGUGUGUUAUUGUUUGUUUUGGUGGAAAUUGUGCCAAUUCUGUUAUUUUUAUUAUUGGUUUAUAGAAACUUAUGACUUUUUGUGCGUGUUAUUUUUGCUUGAGUGUUGUACUCAGUAUUUCUCAUUUUCUGUACAUUUUUACAAGAUCCCGUUAACGGUGCAAGAACGUUUUAGUGUCAUUUAAUUGUAAAUAGUGAUUAAACAUUUUUUGAGAAUCGUUUUGGUAUAUAUUAGAUUAGAUACUAGCAAUGGCAAGUUGUGCUGUAAAUGGUUGUAAAAACAACAGAAAAUUUCCUGUGAUCAAUAAAAAAUUUACAUUCCAUAGUUUCCUUAAAUAAAGGUGAAAUGCGAAGUGUGGUUAACACUGCUUGGCAAAACCGAUGAAAAUUGGAAAUAGAAAUAAUGUGAUUUGUUCUGAACGCCAACGCUUUUGUGUAUUAUAAGUACGGUUCUGGAGUAAGAUCCUUACAGCCAAAUUCGAUUCCUUCACUUCAAUUGGGCAUGUCAAAAACAGUAUGAAGUAUUGCACCUGUAGUUUCGAAAUAUUAAUAUGAAAUUACGGUAACACCUAUUCAUCCGGUUCACAUGAAAUGCACUUACAAAGAACACUGCAAGCAGGGCCGUAGCUACCGGUGUUCCACAGACACGGGCCCGGGCACCAAAGGGCCCGUAAUGAAUGUGCUUUUUUUUAUAACUAUUUUCAUUGAACAUUGUAAAAGCACCUACAUAAAAUCAAGCCUGUAGGUACCAAAUAUGAAUAAAAGUAAAAUAGUGUUUUUUAUAGAAUGGAAAUGAAAUACAUGUAUAAAUAGCGUAGGCUGUGAAAGUGCACCAUUCAUACAAAUAUAAACCCUUAUAUUAUAUUACAAAAUAUCAGGUUCACAGCACAUUGCAGAGCAGUAGCCACAUAAACAAAGUUGAUCAGAAACUCCGCUCUGAUUGGCUUCCUUUUAAGAAUUAAGUUACGACUGCACUCCUAACGUGAGAUAUCGGUUGGCUCGAUAUCACUUCACGUCUAAUCGAAGCAGGGACCGACAAGAAAUCCAAAUUCCAAAGUGCAAAUGUGAAUGUGGGAAUUGUUUUGUAGUUUCAUAUAAUCUACAAGCACUUGCUAUUGUUCUUCUGAGACGACUCAAAACAUCCCCUUCAUCCAUAUUUAAGUUUUAAGUAAAACCUAAAACGAGCCGUUGAUCACACGCAGAAACGAUAACAAACAUAUACCUAGAUAUAUGACCACCAAUCAAUACACGUAAAUUAAUAAUCAGAAAUGAAAACAAUUCAAUGAUGAAAACUUCACAGAGGUUAGAAAACAAACUAAUUACAAUGUUGCCAGAUGUUCCGUCACGCAGGAGUUGUGCGCGUUUACAAGAUCUUUCCGAUGACACCAAUUAGAAAACAAUCGGACCAAAAUUGUAGAUGUGAAAAAAAUUGAAAAAUCACCACGUUACUUCGCCCACCACUCUUGGGAAUGGCGCCCAGAUAAACAUGAAAUAAUUUUUAAUUUCUGAUCGAAUGACACCAAUACCAAGUCUAUAGUUCCAGAGCCUUUGUGAACACUUUUUGAAAGUGAAAGUGCACAAAAAAAUCACCCCCCAUGGGUUUAAAGUAAAAGACUUAAGACGGGAAUCAAUUUUGUGGGCUCGUGGUUUGAACUUUUGAAGCAUCUCGGAUCAUGUGUUGCACAAUUUUUGAAAUCCAUCGUCACACGCAUUUUUUACACAAAACUAUAUGUUUUAUAAAAACGAGGCACUUUUGUGCUUAUUCGGAACUAAGGAACGUUACGGGCGAUCAAAAAUAAGUGGAGACCCAGUCGCCUUUGGUAGUUCAAGUUAGACGCUUUCCCAUGUAAACAAAAAUUUCAAAUGUGACUCGACAGCAACUCAUUUUUGAUCGCAUUGUAUAUCAGGAAAACAGGACUGUCCCUUUGAAAUGAGAUGUUUGGUAACUUUCUCACUUUAGGUAUUUAGUGUCUAAGUAAAUAUAAAAAAAAUAAUGAACACGUCUCAAAGAUUUUUUAAAUUUCAUCCCUUAAAAGAUGUAAAAAGAGGUGUGAAAGUUUGUAUGAAAAAUACCUACAACUGCAGUAUAUGUGUGACGUGUGUCACUGAACUCUGAACUCCCCGUUAAAUUUUAAAUAUUUUAUAGAUUUUUAGGGAGAACAAUGUCGGUCGCGUCCGCCAGUGUUACGUGUAGAUAAUUAGCUGAAAAAAUGUCGAAUUUCAAAACAUAAUGCAGUUAUAAUUUCAAUUUCAUAACAUAAAAAUUAAAACCUUAUUGGCUAAA